CUCCGGUUGAUCCCGCCGGACCCGACUGCUAUCAGAGUGGGACUAAGCCAUGCGAGUCAACAUAGCAAUAUGUGGCAUACGGCUCAGUAACACGUAGUCAACAUGCCCAGGGGACGUGGAUAACCUCGGGAAACUGAGGAUAAACCGCGAUAGGUCAUCACUUCUGGAAUGGGUAAUGACUUAAAUCUAUAUGGCCCCUGGAUUGGACUGCGGCCGAUCAGGCUGUUGGUGAGGUAAUGGCCCACCAAACCUGUAACCGGUACGGGCUCUGAGAGGAGGAGCCCGGAGAUGGGCACUGAGACAAGGGCCCAGGCCCUAUGGGGCGCAGCAGGCGCGAAACCUCUGCAAUAGGCGAAAGCUUGACAGGGUUACUCUGAGUGAUUUCCGUUAAGGAGAUCUUUUGGCACCUCUAAAAAUGGUGCAGAAUAAGGGGUGGGCAAGUCUGGUGUCAGCCGCCGCGGUAAUACCAGCACCCCGAGUGGUCGGGACGAUUAUUGGGCCUAAAGCAUCCGUAGCCGGUUCUGCAAGUCCCCCGUUAAAUCCAGCUGCUCAACAGAUGGGCCGCGGAGGAUACUACAGAGCUAGGAGGCAGGAGAGGCAAGCGGUACUCAGUGGGUAGGGGUAAAAUCCGUUGAUCCAUUGAAGACCACCAGUGGCGAAGGCGGCUUGCCAGAAUGCGCUCGACGGUGAGGGAUGAAAGCUGGGGGAGCAAACCGGAUUAGAUACCCGGGUAGUCCCAGCUGUAAACGAUGCAGACUCGGUGAUGGGUUGGCUUCGAGCCAACCCAGUGCCGCAGGGAAGCCGUUAAGUCUGCCGCCUGGGGAGUACGGUCGCAAGACUGAAACUUAAAGGAAUUGGCGGGGGAGCA
rnacentral:rRNA from 1 species